UACGGGAGAUCCGAGCGUUAUCCGGAAUUACUGGGCGUAAAGAGUUGCGUAGGUGGCAUGUAAAGCGAGCAGUGAAAGACUCCGGCUCAACCGGAGGCACAUUGUUCGAACUUACAAGCUAGAGCAUAGUAGAGGUACCUGGAAUUUCUAGUGUAGGAGUGAAAUCCGUAGAUAUUAGAAGGAACACCGAUGGCGUAGGCAGGGUACUGGGCUAUUGCUGACACUAAGGCACGAAAGCGUGGGGAGCGAACGGG
rnacentral:rRNA from 1 species